rnacentral:tRNA from 2 species
GGGCAGGUACCCAAGUGGCCAAAGGGGACUGACUGUAAAUCAGUUGGCUCAGCCUUCGGUGGUUCGAAUCCGCCCCUGCCCACCA